rnacentral:rRNA from 1 species
GACUUAAGCAUAUCAAUAAGCGGAGGAAAAGAAACCAACAGGGAUUGCCCUAGUAACGGCGAGUGAAGCGGCAACAGCUCAAAUUUGAAAUCUGGCGUCUUUGGCGUCCGAGUUGUAAUUUGCAGAGGGCGCUUUGGCAUUGGCAGCGGUCCAAGUUCCUUGGAACAGGACGUCACAGAGGGUGAGAAUCCCGUACGUGGUCGCUAGCCUUUACCGUGUAAAGCCCCUUCGACGAGUCGAGUUGUUUGGGAAUGCAGCUCUAAAUGGGAGGUAAAUUUCUUCUAAAGCUAAAUACUGGCCAGAGACCGAUAGCGCACAAGUAGAGUGAUCGAAAGAUGAAAAGCACUUUGGAAAGAGAGUUAAAAAGCACGUGAAAUUGUUGAAAGGGAAGCGCUUGCAGCCAGACUUGCCUGUAGUUGCUCAUCUGGGUUUUUACCCAGUGCACUCUUCUAUAGGCAGRCCAGCAUCAGUUUGGGCGGUUGGAUAAAGGUCUCUGUCAUGUACCUCUCUUCGGGGAGAACUUAUAGGGGAGACGACAUGCAACCAGCCUGGACUGAGGUCCGCGCAUCUGCUAGGAUGCUGGCGUAAUGGCUGUAAGCGGCCCGUCUUGAAACACGGACCAAGGAGUCUAACAUCUAUGCGAGUGUUUGGGUGUCAAGCCCGAGCGCGUAAUGAAAGUGAACGGAGGUGGGAACCUUUCGGGGUGCACCAUCGACCGAUCCUGAUGUCUUCGGAUGGAUUUGAGUAAGAGCAUAGCUGUUGGGACCCGAAAGMUKSUKAACUAUGCUUGAAUAGGGUGAAGCCAGAGGAAACUCUGGAGAGUUCACGCGGUUCUGACGUGCAAAUCGUCGUCAAAUUUGGCAUAGGGCGAAAGACU